UUAGGUUCAUCAUGUCAUGCAUGCAUGACUUUUAUUUUUGCAUAUAUCAAUAGUAAGUUGUGGAAUGCAUCUUCAAGAGGUCUUUUGUAAGUUCAGAGUUAGAGGAAAUGUUGAAGAAUACGUCUCGUGCUUCAGAGUUAGAGGCAAAAUACCAUCCAUAUUCGAUAUUAGGAUUAGGAUAACGAGCACAAAAACUCCCACUUUUCUUCUUUGUACAAUCAACAUGAGACUGGCAUAAAUUAGGAUGUUCCUCGACCAUCUUCAUAAUAGAUGAUAUUGGAUUUAUGCAGAAACCUCCAAUUAGCGCAAUAGGGAUGCAACGACAAUCGCUAGAGCGACAUGGUGGCAUCUCAAAUGGCGAACAAAUACCCGAACAGUCUGCUGCUAUUACCAGCUUCUUCAUAGAGAACGUUGCUGUAAAUAGAAAAAGGCAAUUAGAGUUGGAAGAAUACAUGCAAUUAUAAAUAGAUAUGACCAAUAUGUAUAUAUUGAUGAGAAAUAUAUCUAAAAUACAUACAGAAUAUGGCAAGCAAGAAGACAACCAAAGGAAUGAGCCUAACAUAAGCCAUUUUUUAUCGAUAAAAAGAACCAACUAUAUGACUUUGUGUUAUAAGCUUAGUUUUGUGUUGCAUUAGUUUAAUCUUGUAUGUAACAAUUUAUAGAGAUACUUCAUGAAAAUAAUGCUCCUAAAUUGCUUAAUACUUUAAAUUGAAGAUAUACAUUUUUCACCGAACACCACAUUACCAAAAAAGUGUGUCCUAAGCAAUUCGUAUAUCACAUCAAACUCUCUUCUAGAAUUGUUUUUGUGGGAAAUCAUCUAUGUGCUUUUCUCUGGCUUUUGGCAAGAUUGAUCUCUUUAUCAGUUAUCACCUUUGGCCAUUAUUUUUUUUUUUGUGUCCGGGGUUCAAACCCCGACAUUGCAUAUAUUAUAACCUUUGACUAAUGUGUCUCUUACAUUUAGACCUAACAUUUUCAAUAAAAUAUUGCAAGAUGGUUACUUACUUAUUUUGUUUGAUGGUUAAAUUUAGGAGUGACAAAAUGUACGGGUCAUGUGAUUAAACCGUCCAAAGUGGUGUGGGUUAACUUGGAUGGUUGAGUUGAAACUCUCGGUCUUUUUGAAUGUGGAUCUUACUAUUUUUAUGACAUUAAUUUUUAUUUUUUACCAAAGACAUUCAUUAAUUGUAUAUAAAAUGCUCAAGUGAUAAAGAGUUGCCGGCUUAUUAUCUUUGAUUAUAGACUGAAGUUAAAUAAUCAACUAUAUAUCAAGAAGAAAUGCAAGAAUUAGCUUUGUACAAGGAACACAAACAAAACAGUAAAAUGCGAAAUACAUGCAAACGAUAGUUGAAAAUAUAUAUACGGUUGAGAUUCUAUUCUUCCUUUUCAUUUGUAAGUGAAUGGUAACAAUAAGCAUUACCUAACUAAAAUCAUAUUUUUUUACAAUCACAAAAAAAAAAUUAGGGAACAGAAAAUAUUUAAAGUUAAGAACAACAUGGAAAAACAUACUCCCUCCGUCUCAUAAUAAGUGAGUUUUUGUAAAAAAAUAUUGUGCUAAAAUAAAUUACUCAUUUCACUUUUCAAUGCAAUAUUAAUUAUUUUUUUCUAAAUAUAACUCUAAUUAAAACUACUUUCAUCACUUUCAAUUAAAUAUAUUCUAGUAGUAGAAUAAUUCUACUUUGUAUUUUGUUAAUGGUUAGUAUUUUGUUAAUGGUUAGUUAAUGCACUAAUAUUUAACAGGAGCACUUAAACCAAUUUUUCUUUUUCAUUCACUAAUAUAUUUUUCUUAAUAAGUGUGCAAUGAAUAAAGGAUCACUUAAAUUUGUACGUCAUUUUUUAUAUUACAUUGAUCAAUUUUUGAAUUGUUGAAUCUGAUUUGUUUUGAAACCUGAUGAUGCUCUUGCAAUGAAUUGAAUUUCUGAAUUGAAUUUGAUUACUUUCCAAUCGAUGGUAUCUCAUGAUUUGCAAUUUGAGUUAAGAGUUUAUGAUUUCUAAAAUCAAGUUCUCCUCACCCAUCUUUCUCUGGCCAACAUUAUUUACCUUAUAUUUAUAGCAAAAUGAUAAAGAGUGCCCUUAGGCUUUGCUUGCGAGUUUAGAAAUGAAGGGAGGGAUUUGUAAAAUGACUAAUAAAGGACCCUAAAAAUAUGAUAAGACAGACUUCUCCACAAGCUACUUAACAAUUCUAUAUGAACCCCACCCCCACCUCCACACACACAAAAAAAAAAAAAAAAAAAAAAAAAAAACCCGAAGUUCCAUCUAAUUCCACUAUAACCCUGUGUCUUAAAAGAUCUACCAAGUAGAAAAUUUAUCUAGGAAGAGCUUCCAUGAGCUAACAUGAACCUUAGAUGGUGUCCAACCUUUUCGGACCAAUGAUAUCAAUGUUCCACAAAUCGCGUGUCAACUCGGCGAGUUUACCGAGUUUACGUGUUUAGGUGCUAAAAACGUGUUAACUCGGAGGUAAACUCGAUUUCUGGUAAAAUCGGAAAGUUUGACGAGUUUGACCGAGUUAACACUCAGUAAACUCGUGUAAAAUCGGGCGAGUUUACCGUUUUUUGCGAGUUUACUCCUGUAUUUUUUUUCUUCAAAAAUGACCCUUUUUUUUUUUUUGCCCAUUUUUUUCAAGCCCAAACUUUCUACGUUUCAACUGAAGUGAAAAUUACUACAGGGUCCCAUCUAGAUUUUAACGUUUCGUUUCAUUUUCUUUUCGUUUUCAAGAACAGGGGGCGGUGGAGAAACCUGGAAAUUCUGACGAUGGAGAAACAUUGAAAUUUCGAUUCCAAUUCCGAUUCUUUGCGUUUUCGAGUUGGGUUGCGGUGUUAUUGUGGUGGUGUUUGUUGUCAGCUGUAACGUUAGAUUAUAAGGCAUAUAUACAAUCUUGUUUGAACGAAAAACAGAGCUUCAAAGUUCAGAUUCAGACUCUCUUUUUCCUUUCCUUUAUUGUUUCUUUUAUCAUCAAAGCUUCAAAAGGCAUCUUUUCUAGAUAGUUGUUACAUGUUAUUGUUAGGGUUUUUAACUUUGAUCAUCAGGUUUCUAUUUCUGUUUCUAUUUCUAUUAUUUAACAUAGAUUACAUGUUUUUUUUCUUCUAAAUAGCGGUGUUACACUGUUACUGGUUUAGUUUAGGCAUCUCGUGAAUUUGUGAACGUGCAUUUUUUCUAAAUAACUUAUUACUGUUUGUUAAUAUUCAGAAGCUUGUUAUUUAAACUUGGUUAUGUUUUGUUUUCUAGGUCAGAACCAUGUUUUGUUUUCUAACUUAUUACUUUGCAUUUAUAAUUAAGUCUAUAUUUUUCACUAUUGAUCUUUUUACAGUAUUAUAUUAGCUUACAUAUGUCAUGCAUAUAAUAAAUUGUAUAAAAUUUCAAUUUUAGGUAAACUCGUACGAGUUUACGAUUCGAGUUUACGAGUCGAGUUUACCUAGGUAAAACGAGUUGAGGUAAACUCUCGAGUUGCAAAACCUUGAAUGAUAUGAUAAAAUAAAUAUCCCCACCCUAUCCCUUUCUUGAGAGACAAACCUAAGAGGUAACCACAUGCCAAGAAAUCCUCCUCGAACUCAGCUUCCAAGACCAAUAAUCAUCCCCCUCUAACAACGAUCAAGCUUCCAUCACACCCAACAUAGCAACUAAGACUCAUUAUCUAAAUGUUUUAACCAUUUAUUUUAAAUAAAUAAAAAGAAUCCUUACUGUUUAUAGUUUUGGGACCAAGAAAGACCUUUCGAGGAGUUUGUUUGGUUGGUCAAACAUAUUGAUUAGGCGCACACACAACAACAACAACAUAAUUUUUUAUAUUUUUUUUAUUGAUGUUUAUUAUUUUGUGUUUAGUUUAUGCAUUUUGUUUUGUGACAUGCAACCAGCUCCCUUCUUAUGGCUAUAUAUAUAUAUAUAUAUUAUAUAUAUAUAUAUAUAUAUAUAUAUAUAUAUAUAUAUAUAUAUAUAUAUCACACCAUUACUAGUAACAUUCCCCUCGCUUAAAUAUAGACAACAACAACAAAAAUUUGUUUUUCUUUUUUAUUGAUGCUUAUUAUUUUUGUUUAGUGUAUGCAUUUUGUUUUGUGACAUGCAACACCAGCUCUAUUCUUAUAGUUAUAUAUAUCACACCAUUACUAGUAACAUCCCCGACGACAACAACAACAACAAUAAUUUGUUUUUUUUCUUUAUUGAUGUUUAUUAUUUUGUGUUUAGUUUAUGCAUUUUGUUUUGUGACAUGCAAUACCAGCUCUCUUUUUAUGGUUAUAUAUAUAUAUAUGUAUAUAUAUAUAUAUAUAUAUAUAUAUAUAUAUAUAUCACAUCAUUACUAGUAACAUCCCCCUCGUUUGAUUAUAGACAACAACAACAGCAACAACAACAAUAAUUUGUUUUUCUUUUUCAUUGAUGUUUAUUAUUUUGUGUUUAGUUUAUGCAUUUUGUUUUAUGACAUGCAAUAUCAGCCCCCUUUUUAUGGUUAUAUAUAUAUAUAUAUAUAUAUAUAUAUAUAUAUAUAUAUAUAUAUAUAUAUAUAUAUCACAUCAUUACUAGUAACAUCCCCCUCGUUUGAUUAUAGAAAAUAACAACAGCAACAACAACAAUAAUUUGUUUUUCUUUUUUAUUGAUGUUUAUUAUUUUGUGCUUAGUUUAUGCAUUUUGUUUUGUGCCAUGCAAUACCAGCUCCCUUCUUGUGGUUAUAUAUAUCACACCAUUACCAGUAACACCCCCCUCACUUGAUUAUAGACAACAACGACAACAACAAUAAUUUGUUUUUCUUUUUUAUUGAUGUUUAUUAUUUUGUUUUUAGUUUAUGCAUUUUGUUUUGUGACAUUCAAUACCAGCUCCCUUAUUAUGGUUAUAUAUAUCACACCUUUACCAUUAACAUUUUGAUAGCUAGUACUCCACUUUUCCAUUUUCUCAUCAUAAAAAAUUAUGUCUUCCUCAUUCUUUGCUUUGAGAAAAAUUUCUUCUUUCUAUGCCAAACCUUCCAACACAAAAUCAUCACAACCAAACAUCUCAUACAAAUCAACUAUCUUACCCUUCCCUUCACUCACUACAACAACACUCAACAACCUAAACAUUAAUACCUCACUACACUCUUACCAAUCAAACAAGUCUUUCAUUUGCAAAAGUCAAGAUCAAUCAUCUAACUCAGGUUCACUCCUUAUAUCUUUCUUGUUUGUUUGUCAAGGAACUAUGAUGGAAUUCGUUGCUUGUUAAUAAUAUCUAUGUUGACCCUUUGAUUUUUUUUUUUUUUUGUUGCUUGAUUAAUAGUCAAAGUACAAGAACUUAGUGUUUAUGAGAUCAAUGAAAAAGAUCGUGGAAGCCCUGUUUAUCUUAGAUUGAGUCAAAAAAAUGUCAACAUACUUGAUGAUCUAAUUUCAUUUAGCAACAAGGUGAGUUGGUUAUCAUUAUUUUGGUCUUUCUUAAAAAUAUCUGCACAAUUGUGACACGAACUAUAACCCAACAAUUUAAUUUUAAAAGUUUUUAUUUGACGGAAAAAAAAUUAAAAGGAAAAAGCAUGUCAAUUAAGUACUCCAUAUAAGAAAAGUAUUUAUUGUUUUUUGAGGUAUAUAAGAAAAGUAUAUAUUGUUUUUUAGGGGAUAAAAAGUAAAGAAUUGUGCUAACGCUCUAAAAAUUAAUUUUUAAAACUAAAAUGUAAAUAUUGAUUUUUGAGGUUUUUACAAAUAGAAAGUACUCCCUCCAUCCCCUUAUGUUAGCCCCUUUUGCUUUUUUCACAUUUCUUAAAAAAAGUUGUCAAUGUAAUUAAUGUGUGUUUUGUGUGUUAAUAUUAUUAAAUUGUCAUUUGUUUGUAUGUGUAUUAAAUUUGACUUUUUAAAUUUCAAGACAAGAUAAUUGUAUUAACUAGGAGUAUGUUUAGGAAAAAAAUAAUAAAUGCAUCUAGUAAGUUGAAAAGGGGUUUACAUUUAAAGACAAAAAUAAAAUCAAAUGGGUGCUUAGAUAUAGGGACAGAAGAAAAUAUUAUUAAUUGAUAAAAAUUAAUUUUUGACUUUUUUAGAAAUAAUUUGGAACAAUUUACGAAACAAAUUUUUAACAUUGAGUUUCUUAACCUGUGUCAUUAAAACACAUGUUAGCAUUUCCCAAAAGUAAGCUAGUUCCUAAAAAAUACUCCCUCCGUCUCAAAUUGUAUGACGUUUUGGACAUUUCACACAUAUUAAGAAAUGCAAUUAAUAUUGUGUGAAAAAAUAGAUAUUAUGAGUUGUUUUACAAAAUUGUCCUUAAUAAAUAACAUGGGAAAGAUAAAUGAAAGAAUUGAAAGAAGAUAUAGUAAUAAAUAGUUAAGGUUAUAAUAGGAAAAGUAACAUUAAUGUUGCAUUGGUAUUGUAAAGCGACAUAUAAUUUGGAACAAAUUUUUUUCCCUGGAGUAUGAAGUAAAUAUUAUUAGUAUUUAUAAGACCAACACACAUGGAUUGGUCUAGUGGUGUUGCCUCGAGAUAUUGGAGUGUACUACUAUUAAAAACCAUAAAUAAGUGAUGUAUACACGAGAUUUAUUUAAGUACUCCAUUCUAAUAGUAUUAUAUUGAAAGUUGUGAAAUCAAUGCCUCAAAAGUCUAAAUUAUGUCAUUUUUAAUUUUUUUUUUUUUUUUUUUUGCUUCUUUAACCGGUUCUUGUGAACCAAUUAGGAUGACCCUUAUUUUUUAAAGGUAAUAUUGUCCAUUAGAAACUACAAACUUUGCAUCAUGUAGGCCUAAUUUAUGCAAAUUUAAAAAAAAAUAACUAAAAAUUAGAAAUUAGGAUUGUACCAACAAAAUAUAGAAUUAGGAUAAAGGUAAAGGAAUUUAUUUGAUUUUGGGGUUAUGGAAUUUGCAGUUGUACUCAGGAUGUUUACAAAAGAGGGUAGGAAUAACAGCUGGAAUAUGUGUUUUGAUUCAAAACAAAGCAGAGAAAAAAGGGGACAUAUAUGAAGCAAUAUAUAGUUUUUAUUUUGGAGAGUAUGGUCAUAUUUCUGUGCAAGGUUCUUAUUUAACUUAUGAGGAGGAUACUUAUUUGGCUGUGACUGGUGGAACUGGAAUAUUUGAAGGUGUUUAUGGUCAAGUUAAGCUUCAUCAAAUUGUGUUUCCAUUUAAGAUAUUUUACACAUUUUAUCUUAAGGGUAUUAAGGAUUUGCCACAUGAGUUUCUUGUUAAUCCUAUUGAGCCUAACCUAGCUGUUAAGCCAAGUUUAGAUGCCAAAGAUUAUGAGCCUCAUGCUGUUAUUGCUGGUUUCACCAACUAAUUAAGAAAUGGUGGUAAUUAAGUUUGGAUUUAAAACUUAAAAAUGUUAUUAACUUUAUGUUGUGUAAAAGUAUACUUUCAAACAAUUUUCUUUUUUUCUUUUUCAAGUAGUCUAAUAAGGUGUCCGAGGUUCAAACCUCAGCCCCAACAUAUGAUAGGUAAUAUACAUACUAAUUGAGUUAAGUUCACAAAAAUUAUAAUUUUUUUUUCUAGUUUGAUAGCGAGUGUGAGAAGACAUGGUCUUUAUACUUAAUAUCCGAUUUGCAUUUAUCAUUUAUUAUCAUUUUUUUAAAUCUAAUUUAGCUUAGCAAUCAUAUAUUGUGAGUUUAUUAAUUUUGUAAAAAAUAGCAUAAAUACGAAUCACUUGAAAGAAACUACUUUCUAUUGAUAUCUAAAACAGUUUUAACCAAAUCUUAUAUAUCUUACGUUAAAUUUUGUUACUUCCACUUAAUAAUCCACGGGUUUCGAUAAAAUAAGGGUUAUGAUAACCGAUGCCUCCGGGGCACUGGUUAACGAUACUAAAAUGAAAGUUAUUACUUAAAAAAGAAAUUUGUUUUGACUUUUUAUAAAUUAAUUAAAUUUUCGGGUAGCAUUUCGAUGACUUUGUGUUUGGUGAUUUUGUCUCUAUCUCUAUCCUAACCAAUAAUUAUCUCUCAUCAAAAUAAUUUAUUUUAAUCACUCAUCUAUCGUUCUCUCUCAUCUAAAAUACACUAAAGUCACCAAAGUCACAUAACACAAAGUCACUGAAGUGCUACCCACAAUUUUCAAUGCAAUAACUACUAUAAAAUUCCUUUUUUGGUAGCUUUAGGCAUUGUCCCAAGAGCACCGGUUAGUAUUUCCCAUAAAUAAUUGUUGUUAAAUAUUGCAUGUGCCACGAAGCAUUAAAUUAUUGUGAAGAUGUUGUUUAGUUUAUUGAAUCAAAUAAAGAAAAUGCUAACUUGUGAUUUAAGAGCAUCCACAAUGGCGAUUCUCAUCUUUGAGGUCUUAAAUGUGUCCCACAUUGAUACAUUAUUUUUUAAUACUUUUUUAAUAAUAGUACCUAAUAGGUACUCAACCACUCCAAUGGAAACCCUCUAACAAAAGGUCUAAUUGGGUCCCACCAAUAUUAUUGAUUUAAUACACUAUCUAUUUUAGUACACUUUUUAAUUAUUAUUUUAAUAAAAAGGUAGUGUGGGUCCAUUUAAGAAUGAGGUCUUAGUUUAGACCUUGCAUCUUUUAAGGCCCUCAUUUUUUUUCACAAUGGGGAUACCUAUUAGGUACCAGGUCUUAAAUGUUUAAGACCCUCCCAUUGUGGAUGCUCUAAGGCAUAAGUUGGUAAACUAAAGAUAGAUGUUUUUUCUUGGAACUUGUGUAUUUAAUGAUGUAAAAGUUUAAGAACUUAUAUUUUCAAUAUAAUUUUUUUUACUAUUUCGUUUUUUAAUUCGUGCCCUUAGAACACAAGUUAACAUGACACAUCAAAUAAUAAUUUUGUUUUAUGCAAGAUCUUGUUGUGAUUCUUGUCUUUGGCGUGUUGGUUUUUUUUUUUUUUUGACAAGGUGUUGGAUUUUAUUUAUGACUCCAUAAUGUCAAUGUAUGUAAUAAAUUCUUCGAUAUCUUAAAAUUUGAUUGGGUAUGGAUACCUUGUAAAAAAAAUCAUUUAAAAUUUAAACAACUUGAUGAGUCAAUAAUUAGUAGUUUUAAUAUAAAUAUUUGAUUUCGUUUUAUUUAGAUUUAAGUUUAUUUUAUUUAAAUAUUAUUUCAUUUUAGAACUAUUUUACUUCAAUUGCAUAUUAUUAUAUUUUAUGAACGAAUAUUUGAUAGAUUGAGUCUUGGAGCAAAAGAAAGAGGAUUAGAAGCUGAUUCAGGAUGAAAAUACGAAAUAUGGGACAAAAAUAUGUCACUCCCCAAGUUAGAGAGGAGGCACGACCCGUGCCACUAGCAGCACGGUCGUGCCAAGCUUCAGGAUUCUCUUUUGCUUCUUUUGCUUCGGAAACAAGCUAUCUAUUUUGACCGAAAAGCUCGUGGUUUCUUGUAGAACAUUCUAGUGAAUAGUUGCUUAGGUUUUAAGUCGACAUAAGACUAUAAAUAGAGUAGCUAGCUAUCACAACAAUUCAUCUUUUGUUCUUGGAAUAAAAGUUCACCUUUAUUUUACUAUUAUUUACUUUUAUGUUCUUCUUCUUCUUCUUUUUCUCUUCUAUGUCUACAAUGAACGUGAGUGAGUAGACUCUUCUUGUCUUGGGAUUGUUGGAUAAGUCAAAUGACAUAAUCCUAAUCAAACCAAGCCUUAAACCCUAAUUUUAUGUAACCCUAAUUUCUAAUCUAAAUUCACCGUUUUAAUAUGAAUUAACAAUUAUCAAACUGUAGAAGCGAAAGUGGAGGGUUAGUAAUUGUUAAUUCAUCAUAUCAAAUAUCAAUUCGUAAAACGAAAGUGGAGUUUUGGUAUUCGCACAAGUGAAUUUAGACAAGGAUUGCGAAACAUGAAAAUAGUCUAGCAAACCUUGAGACAUAUAAAGUUUUGAACUUCAAGGAUUCUAAUAGCAAUCAACCAUGAAAAUAGGUGUGGUUGCUAGAGGAACACACUCAUUGAGACCGAAAGGAGAUGUGAUAGACUAAAGAGAAACUUGUAUUUAGAAAAUAGGUAUAACAUAAAGUUCUAGGUUUAAAGGUUUGGUUUGUGAAGGAUUUGUCAUCAUGACGGACCAAUGAUCUUAAGGCACCUUUUUAUUAUUAUUGUUAUUUCUUUUUAAAAACAAAAUCCAAACUUUUCAACUAAAACUCUUUUCUAAUCAUUAUUGAAAGUUAAUUGAAUUCAUAACUCCCUGUCGAAACAAUUUACUUUUAUUACUACUUCGGUAGAACCGUGCACUUGCGGUUUUACUCAUCACAACUCCAAUCCCAAAUGAACUCGCUCAGAUAACUCACUCGUCUGCGCCAUCAUCACCAAUGGCCAAUGACGUCUUCCACACCACUCAACAACAGUCGCCCUCUUCAUAAACUUCCAAUGAGCUCGACCAACCCACUCAAUCAUCUUCACCCUCUUCACCAAACUCCAAUGAGGUCGCCCAAAACAUUCAAAUGUCCUCGCCCACGUCCUCAACAUCCAAUGAAUUGGCCCACAUCACUACAUCGCCAAUGCCUCCAGCACCGCCCCCACCCACUCCUCGCCCACACAAAAACUGGUAAUCCAACGUCGAUGGGAUAAUCACCCGGUCUCAAAACAACAUUGUUAAACCCAUCAAAAAGCUUAACCUUCAUGUUCGCCCCUUAUUUCCCAUCGAACCCAACAAUAUGACUCAAGCCCUUCGUGACCCUGAUUGGCGCUCGGCCAUGCAAGCUGAAUUUAAUGCCUUACACAACAAUAACACAUGGGAUCUUGUUAAUCGGUCCUCUGCUCAGAAUUUGGUUGGGUGUAAAUGGGUUUUUUGUAUCAAACGAAAUCAGGAUGGCUCCAUUGAUCGUUACAAGGCACGACUACACGGAAACACCCUGGUUGUUUGUGACUACACGGAAACAUUCAGUCCAGUUUUAAUAAAGAAGAAGAAGAUAAAAAUAAUCUAGGAGGGAUACCACAUUUUUGAAUAGAAUGACCCAUGUUCAUAUCCAUUUAUAAAUUGAAUACCAAAUUUCCGCAACAAAGUUACAUCUACAAAACAAGUGAUCCUCCAUCUCUCGAAUCCCCCAUACACCACACAUAAUCCGAACAAACACCACCCACUAAAACUCCUCUUCUAGAUAAAUUUGAUUGAGUCUACCAAAAAUUGCUUGUCAAGAGAAAAUUUGAACCUUUUUGGAGGCAAACUCGACCAUAUUCCCCUAAACCCCCUUCUUGUUGCCAAUCUCGGCAAUAAGCAUUUUCUAACAAAAAUCAUUUUCUUUUUUUGCAAUCAUAAAAAAUAUUUAAAGUUAAGAACAACACAAAAAACAUUUUUAAAAAAAAAACAUGGAAAAACAUACCUAAAAAAAGGGAAAAACAUAACAAGUAAACCUUACUUUUGGUCAAAAUAAAUAAAGGUCAUGCUAACAAAUUUGACACUUGAAAUUAACAAUUUUUAAAUUUACAACUUUUAAAGAUCAUGCUAAUAGGUUUGUAUUGGAAUUUACAACUGUUAAAUUUUUGAGAAGUUGAAUUCAUCACUUUUUACCACUUUUUUAACAGUGAAAAAUGCUAACUUGUGUACUUGGGGCAUAAGUUAAAAGGCUAAAUAUAGGGAAAAUUUUUGGAAAUUAUACAUUCAAUGCAUUAAAAGUUUCAAAAGUUGUAUUUUCAAUAUAAAAGUUACUUUGAAUUUCCAUUUUAACCUUUAAUAUAUUUCUAUUAUUAUUUUCUUACCCAAUGUCCUCCCAGGAUAUUCUUUAAAAUUUUCCAAUAAAUAUUUACACAUUUUUUUCUUUAAAAAAAAAAAUCACCGAUUCAAUUCACAUUGAUUAGAAUUCAGCACAACCAGAAAAAGAAAAAUGAAACAAGAGUAUAUAAAUUGAAAAAUUGACAAUUUAUAUGUCCUGACAUACUGUCUCCGGUCACUAUUAUAAGCAAAAGUCAACUUUUAAAAUUUAUUAAAUAAAUAAUGUAUUUGCUCAAUAAUAUAAACUAAAUACAACAUUUAAUGAAUGAACCUAAAAAAUUGAUUUGUGUUUAUAAUAGUGACCAGAGGGAGUAAGAGAUAAGCCUUAAUAUGAAAUAAUGAAUUUGAGAUUUAUUGCUCCACCUAGGGAUGAUAAUGGGAACGGAUAGUAAGUAUUGUUUGGUCAUACAUAUUGAUUAGGCACACACAAACACAUUAAAGAUACACUUUCUCUAAUGUUAAUAAGUUCUUUUUUAUUGAUCUUUAUUAUUGUGUUUAGUUUAUGCAUUUAGUUUUGUGACAUGCAAUACCAGCUCCCUUCUUAUGGUUAUAUAUAUAACACCAUUACUAGUAACAUCCCCUCACUUUUCCACUUUCUCAUCAUAAAAAGUUAUGUCUUCUUCAUCCUUUUCUUUGAGAACAAUUUCUUCUUUCUAUACCAAACCUUCCAAUACAAAAUCAUCACAACUAAACAUCUCAUCCAAAUCUACUAUCUUACCAUUCUCUUCACUCACUACACCAACACUCAACCUAAACAUUAAUACCUCAUCAUUAAACUCUUACCAAUCAAACAAGUCUUUCAUUUGCAAAAGCCAAGCUUAUCAAUCAUCUAACUCAGGUUCACUCCUAACAUCUUUCUUUCUUGUUUGUUUGUUUGUUAAGGAACUAUGGAACUUGCUUGUUAAUAAUAUCUAUGUUGACCCUUUGAAAAUUUAUUUUUUUUGCUUAAUUUGUAGUCAAAGUGCAAGAACUUAGUGUUUAUGAGAUCAAUGAAAAAGAUCGUGGAAGCCCUGCUUAUCUUAGGUUGAGUCAAAAAAAUGUCAACACACUUAAUGAUCUAGUUCCCUUUAGCAACAAGGUGAGUCGGUUAUAUCACUAUUUUGGUCUUUAUUUUUUUGUCUAAAUAAUCACAUUGUGUAAUAAAUAUUUUUUAGAGCUUUUAUUACUAGUUGCAAUUUUGGGUUUAAACUUUAAAGUUUCUUUUUUCAAUUUUGGGUAAAACUUAUUUUUAAGUUUUAAGUUAGUACAUAUUCUAAAACAAAGAGUUUGACAAAUCGCAUUGACACCAUGAUUUUGUUAAUUGCGAAAAGUAAUCUUUGUCAAAUUUAUGUUUGCAUGUUGUGAUUUUGAGAUACUCAAUCUUAAUUCAAGGAUGCACUUAUAGUUGAUUUUUUGUUUAUUUCAAUUUACUUGAAUAUAAAUAAAUUUAUAUAAAAUAUAAGUGUGACUCAUGGUGAUCCAUACAAAAAAAAAAAAAGCUUGCCUCGUGGCUCAUAUAUUUUUUUUGAGAAGUCCUCGUGGCUCAUAGUCAUACAUAAUCUGCUGCACAAUUAUGACACGAAUUAAAACCCAAAAGUUAUUUUUUAAAAUUUCUAUUUGACAACAAAAAAGUUUAUUUUAAAUAUAAGAAAACGUAAAUAUUGUUGGGAUCCAUAUAAGAAAAGUAAAUAUUGUUUUUUAAGGGCUAAAAAGUAAAUAUUGUUAGUCCCGUGAAAAAUAAGAAGUAAAUAUUGCUAGUAUUUAUAAGGCGUCUCGUCAGUGGCAAGAAUCUAACUCUGUGUCCUCAUGAGUAGGGAUGGUAAUUGGAUCCAGAUUCUAUGGGCAUCCGCAAAAAAUACCCGCUAUGGGUAGGUAAAACCCCGUUUUUAUGGAUCCGGACUUGGGUAUGAGUAAUUACCCGCAAAUUUAUAUGGAUAAGGGCACUGUACUACCCAGCUUCGCAACCCGCAUAUAUGUAUUUAUAUAAUAUUAUAAAUAAUUUAUUUAUUUUUGGUGUACAAUUAAUUAAUAAAUUUAACUAUUUAAGCCUAACCUUACACCUAAAACAGAUUAAUAAAAACUUUAGUAACAAUUUAUUAUGAUUUUAACAUGCAACUACAACUUUUUAACGUAUAACUGAUGUAAGGUAUCAAUUUUUUUUUCUUUCCGGAAAUAAUUUGGAUGUUUUUUUAUUUGGUUAAAUAUUACGAUUCAUAUUAUUUCGUAAGUUGAUUUAAAAAAAUUUAGAUCAUAGUUUUAUUUCAAGUGUGGUGUUUUUUAUUAUCUUUCCAUGGCUAAAGUGCGGGUAUGGACAUUUAAGUGCCCAUAAGGUAUGGGGAAGGGCACUAAAGAUGUUGCCCACGAGGGUACGGGUACGGGUACGGGCAUUUUUUACAAACGCGGGUAUGGGGAUGGAUACUAUAGUACCUUACCCAUUGGGUACCCAUUGCCAUCCCUACUCGUGAGCUUAACUCAGUUAACAUGGACAAUACAUAAUAUAUGUAAAGGUCGUGGGUUCAGACGCCGGACACCACAAAAAAAAUCUAAUUUUGUACAAAUAACAACUUGUAUUAUUGUGUUUUUUUUUUUUUUUGAGGGAAACUUGUAUUAUUGAUGAUAUGACUUGAACCCCACUUAUUAAAAUUUUUGGAUUCGUCAGUGCAUGUAUGCUUUAUUGAAGUAAAUUUAAAAAAAAAAAAAAAAAACUAAAAAUUAGAAAUUAUGAUAAAGUAUUUUUAUUUUUUAUUUUUGGGGGUGUGGAAUGUGCAGUUGUACUCAGGAUGCUUACAAAAGAGGGUGGGAAUAACAGCUGGAAUAUGUGUUUUAAUUCAAAACAAAGCAGAGAAAAAAGGGGACAUAUAUGAAGCAAUAUACAGUUUUUAUUUUGGAGACUAUGGUCAUAUUUAUGUACAAGGUUCUUAUUUAACUUAUGAGGAUACUUACUUGGUUGUAACUGGUGGAACUGGAAUAUUUGAAGGUGUUUAUGGUCAAGUUAAGCUUCAUCAAAUUGUGUUUCCAUUUAAGCUAUUUUACACAUUUUAUCUUAUGGGUAUUAAGGAUUUGCCACAUGAAUUUCUUGUUGAUCCUAUUGAGCCUAAUGAUGUUAUUGCUUGUUUCACCAAUUAAUUAAGAAAUGCUGUUAAUUAAGUUUGGAUGUAAAAUUCAAAAAUGUUAUUAACUUUAUGUUGGCUAAAAGUAUACAAUAAAGUUUAUGAGACGAUAAGUAAAUGUGGUUGUUUAUAUAUGUAAAAGAAUGUUUGUGUUUGUUAGUUGAGCCGAUCAUUAUACUUAAUAUCCAAUUGCAUUUAUUAUUUAUUAUCAAUCAUUUUUCUUAACACAAAUGCUAAUGAGCACGACAACAAUUUGUCGUGGAAUCCACACAACAACAUAUUAUAUGAGCGCACAAUUUCAGAUCUUAUUCAUUUAUUUCAAUUAAAAUUUAUUUAGAUCUAUAGCAUACCUUACUUAGUGGGAUAAGACUUAGUUGUUGUUGCUGCAUUUUAAUUAAAAUUUAUUUAAGCAAUGAGGUUAUGCCAAAUAACAUGUCGUGCGGGUUGUGUGGUGAAUAUUGUCGUGCACAAUAACACUUCUCUUUUUUCUAAUUCUAAUUAGCUUAUCAAUCAUAUAAUGUGAGUUUAUUAAUUUUGUAAAAAAAUAGCAUAAAUACCAAUCAUUUGAAAGAAACUAAUUUCUAUCGAUAUCUAAAACUGUUUAUAUAUCUUUGGUUAAAUUUUGAGUUCUUGUCCCUAUUAAUUUCCCAAGACCCGGAUGAUUAAGACUAAAAUAAAAGUUUACAAUUUGAUCAUAAUGUGUUUGCUUCCAAUUAUAAUCUAUGGGUCCAGAUUAAAAUAUUCGUUGUCAAAUAUUGCAUGAGUCACGAGGCAUUAUUGUGAAGGUGUUGUUUAGUUUAUUGAAUAAUCAGAUGAUAAUUUCAUUUUAUGCAAGAUCUUGUUGUGAUUUUUGUCUUUGGCGUCUUGGCCUUUAUUUAUGACUCACAUAUAUACAAAAUGCCAAUAUAAAGUAUGUCAUAAAUUCUUAGAUAGCUAUCUAAGAUAUCUUCUUUGAAAAAUAUAAUUAAAUUUUUUUUUUAAGGAAAAAGAGAAUUUAAUUCUUAGAUAUCUUAAAAUUUGAUUGUGUAUCGAUAUUUGUAAAAAUAAUCAUUAAAAAUUUAAAUUUACUUUUAAAAUAAAUUAAUGUAAAAAUAUGACAUGAAAUUGACCGAUUAAAUGAUGGAUAUAUAUAUACCCAAACAAACUCAAAGGGUACUCAAUCAAGGAUAUCUAAGGGUAGUCACCAUGUCAAUGUAUACUUGUUGUCUAUAUGUGAUGUGAGAAUCUUGUCAUUUGCCACACAUGAUUGAUAAUAUAUAUAUACUCCAUCCGAUUCUAUUUAUAUAAUAAGGUUAACUUUUUAGAUACAUUGAAUAAUGUAUGUAUCUAGUCAAGAACCUAAACCAAAUACAUGAAUUAUUUAAUGUAUCUAAAAAGUAAAUUGUUUCUUGUAAAUAGGACUGGAUGAAGUAUUAAUUACGAUGAACAAGUAAGGUGUUUGGGGUUCGAACUCCAACCCAUACCUAUAUAAUGUAAUGUCUCUAAUAAUUGAGUUGAGCUACGUAGAUUGAUUGAUAAUAUAUUAUAUACUCACUCCGUCUCACAAUAAUUAUCUUUUUACCCAUUUUUCUUUUUCUCAAAAUAAUUGUCACUUUAUAAUAUCAAUGCAACAUUUAUUAUUUUUUUUCCAUUAUAAUACCCUUAUUUAUCGAACUUCAUCCAACUUAACUACUCCACUAACUACAAUUAAUAAGGGCGUUUUAGUAAAUGAUAUUAAUUUUACCAUCAAAAUCAACAUAAUUAAUCAUUUUCUUAAUAACCAUGCAUCAAUCUUAAACGACUAUUAUUUAGAGAUGGAGGGAGUAGAAUACAAUAAGUUAAAUGUGGCUAUAUUAUAAGGGUCAUGCUAAUCGGUGCCACCGGAUGACUGAUUAAGGAUAUUAAAAAAGGAAGUUAUUACUAAGAAAUAAAACUUUUUUGACUUUUUAUGAAUUGAUUAUACAAUUUUCAAUGCAAUAAUUCUUACUAUAUAAUUUUCUUUUUUAAUAUUUUAACUAGUGCCCUGGACACCCGUUAGCAUUUUCCAUAUUACAAUGGCACGUUUGUUGGUGUGCAGUUUUUUUAACUCUAAUUAAACAAAUUUUCUUAUUCUUAGGAAUUAAAAACAUGAAGAAAAAUAAUAAUAUUUGUAUAACCAUUUUAACAGUUUUAAAACCACUUCUCUUAUAGUAUUAUUAUAUUUUUAUUUUCUUUCUAUUGCUUUUAUUUUCAUGUUAAUACAUAUAUUUCUUUAUAUAUUUUUUGUUGUUUCAUUUGUUAUCUUAAAAUGGUUGUUUAAAUAAUAUACUUUAAAAAACUGUCUUUUCCUCAAACAAAAAUUAAUUUAAUUUUAUAAAAUUCAAAGGACACUAACAAGGGCUUUUAAAACCAGACCAAACUUUAUCAUAUUAAGUAGAUCUAGAAGAGCAGCAUCACACUGCUUGCAAAGUAACUACAUAUAUUAUACAAGCACAUACAUGCACAUAGAACAUUUAUUGUAGUCGUGGUGGAUAUGUAGAUUUUUUUUUUUUGGUAGUGUGGAUGGAUAUAUAGAAUAUUUUAUUGAUAUUAUAAAGUGACUUAUAAUUUAUAACAAAAUCUUUUUAAAUAGACUUAUAAUUUGGGACGGAAGGAGUAUGCAGUAUGUGUAACUUUGUGUAGCCUUAUAUGAAUUCAUAGUUAGAAAAAAUUUCGAAGAAUACUUCUUGUGCUUUAGAGUUAGAGGCAAAACACCAUCCAUAUUCGAUAUCAAGAUUAGGAUAACGAGCGCAAAAACUCCCACUU
rnacentral:lncRNA from 1 species